UACGGGGGGAGCAAGCGUUGUUCGGAUUUACUGGGCGUAAAGGGCGCGUAGGCGGCGUGACAAGUCACUUGUGAAAUCUCCGGGCUUAACCCGGAACGGUCAGAUGAUACUGCUUUGCUAGAGUGCGGAAGGGGCAAUCGGAAUUCUCGGUGUAGCGGUGAAAUGCGUAGAUAUCGAGAGGAACACCAGAGGUGAAGACGGGUUGCUGGGCCGACACUGACGCUGAUAGCGCGAAAGCCAGGGGAGCAAACGGG
rnacentral:rRNA from 1 species